AGUGAACGCUGGCGGUAGGCCUAACACAUGCAAGUCGAACGGCAGCACAGUAAGAGCUUGCUCUUACGGGUGGCGAGUGGCGGACGGGUGAGGAAUACAUCGGAAUCUACUUUUUCGUGGGGGAUAACGUAGGGAAACUUACGCUAAUACCGCAUACGACCUACGGGUGAAAGCAGGGGAUCUUCGGACCUUGCGCGAUUGAAUGAGCCGAUGUCGGAUUAGCUAGUUGGCGGGGUAAAGGCCCACCAAGGCGACGAUCCGUAGCUGGUCUGAGUGGAUGAUCAGCCACACUGGAACUGAGACACGGUCCAGACUCCUACGGGAGGCAGCAGUGGGGAAUAUUGGACAAUGGGCGCAGGCCUGAUCCAGCCAUACCGCGUGGGUGAAGAAGGCCUUCGGGUUGUAAAGCCCUUUUGUUGGGAAAGAAAAGCAGCAGGUUAAUACCCCGCUGUUCUGACGGUACCCAAAGAAUAAGCACCGGCUAACUUCGUG
rnacentral:rRNA from 1 species